rnacentral:rRNA from 1 species
UACGUAGGGUGCGAGCGUUAAUCGGAAUUACUGGGCGUAAAGCGUGCGCAGGCGGUUGUAUAAGUCAGAUGUGAAAUCCCCGGGCUCAACCUGGGAACUGCAUUUGAGACUGUACGGCUAGAGUGUGGCAGAGGGGGGUAGAAUUCCACGUGUAGCAGUGAAAUGCGUAGAGAUGUGGAGGAAUACCGAUGGCGAAGGCAGCCCCCUGGGCCAAUACUGACGCUCAUGCACGAAAGCGUGGGGAGCAAACAGG